rnacentral:rRNA from 1 species
GUGAGGAAUAUUGGUCAAUGGGCGCAAGCCUGAACCAGCCAUGCCGCGUGCAGGAAGACGGUCCUAUGGAUUGUAAACUGCUUUUAUUUGGGAAUAAACCUCCUUACGUGUAGGGAGCUGAAGGUACCAAAUGAAUAAGCACCGGCUAACUCCGUGCCAGCAGCCGCGGUAAUACGGAGGGUGCAAGCGUUAUCCGAAAUCAUUGGGUUUAAAGGGUCCGCAGGCGGUCAUAUAAGUCAGUGGUGAAAGCCUACAGCUCAACUGUAGAACUGCGAUUGAUACUGUAUGACUUGAAUUCGAUCGAAGUGGGCGGAAUGUGACAUGUAGCGGUGAAAUGCUUAGAUAUGUCACAGAACACCGAUAGCGAAGGCAGCUCACUAGGUCUGGAUUGACGCUCAGGGACGAAAGCGUGGGGAGCAAACAGGAUUAGAAACCCCAGUAGUCC